rnacentral:ribozyme from 1 species
UUUUUCUGUUUCUUCUGUUUCCUAUUCCUAUGUCUAUUUUAUUUUUCUGUUAUUUUCCAUUAUUUCUGUUUUCUA